CCUACGGGGGGCUGCAGUGAGGAAUAUUGGUCAAUGGACGAGAGUCUGAACCAGCCAAGUAGCGUGAAGGAUGACUGCCCUAUGGGUUGUAAACUUCUUUUAUAUGGGAAUAAAAUGUUCCACGUGUGGGAUUUUGUAUGUACCAUAUGAAUAAGGAUCGGCUAACUCCGUGCCAGCAGCCGCGGUAAUACGGAGGGUCCGAGCGUUAUCCGGAUUUAUUGGGUUUAAAGGGAGCGUAGGUGGAUUGUUAAGUCAGUUGUGAAAGUUUGCGGCUCAACCGUAAAAUUGCAGUUGAAACUGGCAGUCUUGAGUACAGUAGAGGUGGGCGGAAUUCGUGGUGUAGCGGUGAAAUGCUUAGAUAUCACGAAGAACUCCGAUUGCGAAGGCAGUUCACUGGACUGCAACUGACACUGAGGCUCGAAAGUGUGGGUAUCAAACAGGAUUAGAUACCCGUGUAGUC
rnacentral:rRNA from 1 species